GAUGAACGCUGGCGGCGUGCCUAAUACAUGCAAGUCGAGCGAACGGACGAGAAGCUUGCUUCUCUGAUGUUAGCGGCGGACGGGUGAGUAACACGUGGAUAACCUACCUAUAAGACUGGGAUAACUUCGGGAAACCGGAGCUAAUACCGGAUGAUAUUUUGAACCGCAUGGUUCAAAAGUGAAAGACGGUCUUGCUGUCACUUAUAGAUGGAUCCGCGCUGCAUUAGCUAGUUGGUAAGGUAACGGCUUACCAAGGCAACGAUGCAUAGCCGACCUGAGAGGGUGAUCGGCCACACGGGAAGUUGGACACGGUCCAGACUCCUACGGGAGGCAGCAGUAGGGAAUCUUCCGCAGUGGGCGAAAGCCUGACGGAGCAACGCCGCGUGAGUGAUGAAGGUCUUCGGAGCGUAAAACUCUGUUAUUAGGGAAGAACAUAUGUGUAAGUAACUGUGCACAUCUUGACGGUACCUAAUCAGAAAGCCACGGCUAACUACGUG
rnacentral:rRNA from 1 species